GGGAGUGUGGUUCAGUGGUAGAGCGCUUGCCUAGCAUGCAUGAAGCCCUGGGUUCAAUUCCUCAGUACCA
rnacentral:tRNA from 1 species